UACAGAGGUCUCGAGCGUUGUUCGGAUUCAUUGGGCGUAAAGGGCGCGUAGGCGGCGGGGUAAGUCUGGUGUGAAAUCUCGGAGCUCAACUCCGAAAUUGCACUGGAUACUGCUCUGCUAGAGGGCUGGAGAGGAGAUCGGAAUUCACGGUGUAGCAGUGAAAUGCGUAGAUAUCGUGAGGAAGACCAGUGGCGAAGGCGGAUCUCUGGACAGUUCCUGACGCUGAGGCGCGAAGGCCAGGGGAGCAAACGGG
rnacentral:rRNA from 1 species